rnacentral:lncRNA from 1 species
GGGGUUCAGAGCUUCCACAUAUCUCUUUGGUGGACACGACUCAACCCACAACACCUCCUCAAACCACAUUUUAUAAACCGCUGCUCAGCCAUACAUCUCAGACAAGAAAUAUUUGAAAUUACACUUGUGACGUCAAAUGACAGAAAGAUGGCAGGGGAGUAACAGAAGGCCUACACCCAACCCUAUGUCCACACAGCACUAAGCUCCCCAGAGUCUUGUGGCCCCAAUGGACAUGCUCCACCAAUACCUGCAGCCACCAGGAGUUAGAGGAGUGACUUUAGAGCAGCUGGCGGGGAAUUAGGGAAGGAAUCCACCUGCAGAGGCACUUUUUCCAGGGUCUUUCGGAGAAGCGCUUUUCGUGGAAGCCUACCCAGUCUUCAUCUGGCUGUGAUGCCCCAGACAUUUCUUCUAAGUUUCCGGCCUCUGCGUGGAGCCUCAGCCCCCUGAUCCGAGAGCAUUUCCUUCCUUCCCCUGCUCAGCACUGCAGGCUGGGCUCCCCUGUCAGCUGCAUUCCAGCAGGGUUUGGCCUUGGGAAGGCAAUGGCAGGAAACAGGUGGAAAUAUGAGGGUUAACAUCCGGAGGUCAAAACAUCUCUCAAGAACCUCUUUGCCUUGGCUUCUCAGAGCCACCUUUGGAUUAUACAGUAAUUUCACCCGCCGCGACACCUCACUUUAUUCAUCAUAUCAGUCAUUCACCGAUUGGCUCUUCCUCAGACGGGAUGAGUGGCGACCACUUACCGUAUUCCAAACGAAGCCUGAGGAAAGACAAGCCCAGGCCGGCUUUCUGUUCCCACAAGGAUACAGUCACAGAAGCAGAGCUGAGCCUGGUGUGGAUCAACUGACCUCCAGCCGAUCCCUAGAUGCGUGAGCAAGCCCAGCCAAGAUCAGCACAGCCCAGCCAAGAUCAUCUGAGCCUGGACCAGACUAUCUGAUCCGUGGACACAAGAUACAGAAUAAACCCUCUUUGUGGUGCCACUUCCAUCCUCACUUCACAGUUGAAGGAACUGAGGCACAGAGAGGCUAAGGGAUCACUCCAGCUACACAACCAAGAUGAAGGGGAGCCAGAAUUUGAACCCAAGUAGUCUGGUUCUAGAGUCCAUGGUCUACAGCACUUUCCUUUUCUCCCUCUGAGUCCCAGAAAUGUCCACAGUCACACUGGACAGAAAAGUGAUCAGACAACAAACUCCAUGCUUUGUUUUGGGUUUGGAAUUUUACUUUAUGUUUUUUCCAAUCAUUAAAAAAAAUGCACAUUCAUCACAAAAAAUUUGGAAAUUCAGGAAAAAAUAAUGAAGAAUAUUAAAUCACCUAGGAGUACUAUU